AGUGAACGCUGGCGGUAGGCCUAACACAUGCAAGUCGAACGGCAGCACAGUAAGAGCUUGCUCUUACGGGUGGCGAGUGGCGGACGGGUGAGGAAUACAUCGGAAUCUACUUUUUCGUGGGGGAUAACGUAGGGAAACUUACGCUAAUACCGCAUACGACCUACGGGUGAAAGCAGUGGAUCUUCGGACCUUGCGCGAUUGAAUGAGCCGAUGUCGGAUUAGCUAGUUGGCGGGGUAAAGGCCCACCAAGGCGACGAUCCGUAGCUGGUCUGAGAGGAUGAUCAGCAACACUGGAACUGAGACACGGUCAAGACUCCUACGGGAGGCAGCAGUGGGGAAUAUUGGACAAUGGGCGCAAGCCUGAUCCAGCCAUACCGCGUGGGUGAAGAAGGCCUUCGGGUUGUAAAGCCCUUUUGUUGGGAAAGAAAAGCAGCAGGUUAAUACCCAGCUGUUCUGACGGUACCAAAAGAAUAAGCACCGGCUAACUUCGUG
rnacentral:rRNA from 1 species